UUGAAUGCCAGACUAAAGUCCUUGGAUUUGGUUCAAAGGUCUAGGGUUGUCAAACUCAAAUGCCUACAAGGGUUCUUGUGAGGCAGUAGGGAAUGGUGGGGUCUGUAGUCCACCAGAGAGAGCAUGGCUAUCUAAAGGGGCAGUUCCUACUUAGCUUUAGCUGAUUGUUGCCAUGUGGGAUUAUAGCUAAAUCUGAGUUUUCAAGCAAAGUCACAUAUCUGGAAUUUUAUGUAAAAUUUUCCAAUUUUUGAAAGUUGUGAAGCCAAACAAAAUUUAUUUGCAAUCGUAUCUGGCUUGAGAGCCCCCAGUUCAUGACCUCAGAUGGAGGCAGAAGGCAAUCAGUGAAGGUGUGGGUCGUGAAGUGGCCUCUUGAGGAAACCAGCCCCCAGACAAUGUCCACAGCAGCUGAGAAUAUUGGUGAGGAGCCUGAUGUGACCCCAUUUCACCUGUGAUCUCUCAGUCUUCCUACGUCUUCCAGAAGUCAUACAUCUGGCAUGGCGUGCCAAGUGGUGCCAUGUCCGCACCCGGGAUCCGAACCGGCGAACCCCAGGCAGCUGAGAAGCAGAAUGUACGCACUUAACCGCCGUGCCCCUGGGCUGGCCCCUGUAACGUUGCCUUCUUGAUUCAUUUAAAAGGAUUUUGGCCGUCAUUAGCUGCAUCAGCUUUUCUGUCCUCACUGUGUUCUGGGAGCCCAGCUCUCUGGAGGGUGAGGGGACCUGAGCCAUCCUCCACUUCUGGGCUGGGCCCUGCCCUGACCACCUCCCGCUGUGCUGCAGACCCACCUACUGGACGGAGGCACAGCGAAGCCUCUGCAGAGGGUGAAGAGAUGGUCUCUCCGGGUGUUUGAAGUAAGAGUGCUGGACCCUGUGAGCCGCUGUGCAAACAAAGGCCCGCGGAGAAGAGGGGAAGAGGCCGAUGAUUUGUUGGUCUGACUUCACCUAUUUGAAAAAUGCUUUCCGUGUUUCAAAUGGCACUCUCGAGCUUUUCCUGUCCUCUUUACAGCACCCAGGACACUCACAGAACUGCAAAUAUUCUCGCCUAUUCUUGCCCCAGAGAGCUGGGGAAGUGGUGUAUAGGUGGCCGCACAAACAGACGAAGAAAAUGAAUUGUUUGCAAAAAAUGUGUGGACAGGUAUGAAGAUAUUUAUGCAGAGAUUUAUAAGUUCUUAUAAAUGCCACUUUUAGAAUAUUUAUCUUAAUCCUGAGCUAUUUCCUUUUAUGGAAAAUAAUUCUUAAUAAGGAUUCCAUCUUCCUUAGCAAAACUUUUGAUUCAAGUAUUUCUUCAGAUCUUGCACAGGAAGAAGUUUCUUACUUAGGACGGCUGGUGUCUUGGUUCCCUUGCCAGAGGGGAAGAAUUUACUGCUCAGUCCUUUCGUGUGGGGGGAAAAUGAAGAGGGACUCUCUUUCCUCUGGUUUGUUUUCUUGAGCUUGUAAUUUAAAAAUAUCUUCU
rnacentral:lncRNA from 1 species